UCAAAGAAAACAAAAGACGAAUCAAUCUGAGAAGAGAAACAAAUUAAGACAAAUUGCUCCACAGCUGGGCUUCAGAGUGAAGAGAUGAUGUAAACGAUCCCAAUGACUGUGGCAGACAUCACAAUUACAAUUACCAAUUUCCAUCUCAGCUUCUCGAACAUCAGCAACGCGACUGUCUUCAGUUCAAGAUGGCAAUCAGCGUAAAAGCAAUGUUUGAUUAUCGAUCGGCCCUUUCUGAUUGCCAAACACGACUGAACACAAAGCCGAGCAACGUAAGCCGGAAGCCGAAUGACGACGACGAGCCGAGCGCAGCAGAUUACAAGGAAUGAGAAGAGGAAUGAGAAGCGAGGGAGGAGGAUGAAGGAAAAAAAGCCAUCUCUGGAUGACUCAUCCCCUCAGGCGGCCUUUCAGAUGUGAUGCCAGCAAACUUGGUUAUUUGAAGCAGGCUCAAACCGCUGCGCUGCCCUCAAAUAUGAUCACUUCCAGAGCUGGCCGAGGCCUCCGUGACUCUGUGACAUCCGGACAUCUCAGCGAGUUCUCCUCUCCAGUUCACAGGAUUAAACGUGUUUAUCGCCUGGAACAUACUAGUCCAAGGAUUACUGGGGACAUUAUUUCAUGCAGCUCAGGCUCCCAAAGUUGCAGCCUGCUGAGCAAAGACACGGCAGAGCAACUGAAUCUGAUGCCACUGACUCUUUCUGGUGUCUGGUUUCUGCUUUGCUCCCAGUCACCUCCUGUGUGGACGCUGGUAUCUGUUCCUGGAGGAAUGGCCUGCUCAGGUGUUUAUGGUGUUCUUCUCUUUCUUGUUCCUGUUUUAUUUCCUGAUUCAUUGAUUUUAUGCUUUACCUGCUCCUCACCUGGUCUGUGAGGUGCGCUGGCUGUCAGGAUGAGUUUGAUCUGAGGCUCUCUGAAUAGAGGUUCUGAUGGUUGAGCACAGAGUGUGCUUAAGUGGAAUUUGAUUGAAAUAAAUGUAUCGUGUAUGUAUUUAUAGGCUUAAUGCCACUCUGUCAGCUUGGCCUUGGACUGAUGUGACUGUGCGAGGUUUUGAAAGAGAGAAUCAGUAUUUUUUUUUCUUUUCUGAUUUUUCAUAUUGUUACAAACUGUGACUGUAGACAACACCGAAUAAAUUAUUCAUAACCGAGUGGGUUCGAGUCUCCAGAGAGUGCAUCAAAGUCAACUUUUCCUGUA